GCAACAGUAGCUCAGCGCCAGAGCACCGGUCUUGUAAACCGGACGCCGGAGGCUAAAAUCCUCCCUAUUGCU
rnacentral:tRNA from 1 species